UUUCAUAUCUUUUCCCCACGCAUCUUCAUCUCUUCUGACGCGUCUUCAUCUUAAUCAUUGUUGCCCGAAUUUCCGAAAUGCAGAACCUGACUUUAUCUCUUCUCCACGCAUCUUCAUCUUUCAAUUGAUCUUCUUGGCUUCCUUCAUUCAUCUAAUACGAGGUAGUCCCUAACCUCCCAGACAACGAAAGCAAAGAAAACGUUUCCAAAAGCAGAGAGUUUUUACAUAUACAAUGGCCGUCAUACACAGCCACAAGGAAGAGAAGAAAAAAAAAAGAAACCGAACUGAGUCUUAACUCUUAAGUAGUGUGCUUCUAUUUGUGUUCUCAUCUAUUUUUUUUUUUUUUUUUCCCUGUUUAUGUGGGUUUGAGCUGUUUUGAUGUUGCUUGUGUUCAUGGGUUAACGUUGAGGGGAUUUCUAUAUUAUGAGAAAAGUGAAGCUUAGAAAUGUGAAGGAGCUUUAUGAUGAUAGUGGUCAAGUUUUGGACCCCAAUAUUUAAAAAAAUUUCUAAUGGUUCAUUUAAAUUGCUUACAGAUAGCUCUGGCACUGAAAGACAGUUCAAAGAUACAAGGGCCUGUGGGUGAAACCGAUCAAACGGACUGCAUUGACAGAUAGCUCUGGCACUGAAAGACAGUUCAAAGAUACAAGGGCCUGCGGGUGAAACCGAUCAAACGGACUGCAUUGCUCUGCUGACUUGCUGUGCUGACUAUGCGAUCAUGUGGCACUGAAAGAGGACAUGUUGAGAGAGAGAGACAUUUCCAAAGCAGUGAAAUUGAUAUGAAAGAACAACUCAGGAAUUGUAACGUGUGUGCCAUCCCAUGUUCAUGUUGUAUGCAUUCCAAGCAAAUGACAUCUCCAAUGGGAAUAAACACUGAUGAAUUUUCUGAUGCCUGUAAGAGAAAGGAUGUUUGUCGGGGUUCUUCUGGUAAUGUUGAUAUGCUGUCGCCAUCUUUAUGUUAUGCAUGCAAUGGGAGGCAUCAUACAAGCAGUGAGACAAGCAACCUAUUUAGAGCAUGCUCAAAUCUAGUGCAGGGGUUGAUGAAUCUGAUGUGGUUAAAGAUCCUCCGGAGUCACGGCCUGUUGACCAUAACAAGGUAUCUGAUUCUGCAGAGAUUGAAGUAAGAAUUUGUGAUAUAUGUGGAGAUGCUGGUCGGGAGGACUUGUUUGCUAUCUGUAGCACUUGCAGUGAUGGAGCAGAACACAUCUAUUGCAUGCGUGAAAAACUGAACAAGAUUCCUGAAGGAGAUUGGAUGUGUGAAGAAUGCAUACUCAAUGAAGAAAACAAAAGGGACGUGCUACAGAAAUU